AUACGAAGGGGGCUAGCGUUGUUCGGAAUCACUGGGCGUAAAGCGCGCGUAGGUGGAUCAAUUAGUUGAGGGUGAAAUCCCGGGGCUCAACCUCGGAACUGCCUUCAAUACUGUUGAUCUUGAGACCGAGAGAGGUGAGUGGAAUUCCUAGUGUAGAGGUGAAAUUCGUAGAUAUUAGGAAGAACACCAGUGGCGAAGGCGGCUCACUGGCUCGGUACUGACGCUGAGGUGCGAAAGCGUGGGGAGCAAACAGGAGUAGAUACCCUAGUAGUCC
rnacentral:rRNA from 1 species